rnacentral:rRNA from 1 species
AACUACGUACCAUAGCCCGCCUAGACAUGCAUCUAACUCCCCGGCGUUAAGUUGGAUAUCGCUCGGUUAGUACCAAGGUGGGGGACCACUUGGGAAUCCCGGGUGCUGUAGUUU